UACGAAGGGGGCGAGCGUUGUUCGGAUUUACUGGGCGUAAAGGGCGCGUAGGCGGCCUUGUCAGUCAGGCGUGAAAGCCCCGGGCUCAACCUGGGAACGGCGCUUGGGACGGCGAGGCUGGAGUUCGGGAGAGGAGAGUGGAAUUCCCAGUGUAGAGGUGAAAUUCGUAGAUAUUGGGAAGAACACCGGUGGCGAAGGCGGCUCUCUGGGCCGAUACUGACGCUGAGGAGCGAAAGCGUGGGGAGCGAACAGG
rnacentral:rRNA from 1 species